AUGCUAUGCCAUGCCAUACCAUUAGGGUUCACCUCCGCCAUGGCAAUGGCAUCAUCGUCCCUCACCGUCCUGCUCAGCUUCCUCUUCCUCGCCAUUGCCGCCGUGGAGCCGGCCUCGGGGACAGCGCAGCACUUUCUGGGAGUCAAUUACGGCAGGCUUGGCGACGACCUCCCGCCCCCGCACAUCGCGCUUGAGCUCGCCCGCUCGGCCGGCGCCGCCGCGGUCAGGUUCUACGACACCAACGCCACCUUCCUGGCCGCGGCCGCGUCCUCCGGCCUCGGCUUUGUCCCGGCCGUCCCUAACGAGCUCAUCGUCUCCCUGGCUGCCUCCCAGCGCGCCGCCGACGCGUGGGUCGCCUCCACGCUCCUCCCCUUCCGUCGCAACCGCCGCCUCCGCUACCUCUUCGUCGGCAACGAGGUGCUCUCCGACCCCACCACCAAGUCCCGCUGGUCCCGGCUCGUCCCCGCGAUAACUAACCUCCGCCGCGCGCUCCGACGAUAUGGCCUCAGCCGUGUCAAGGUCAGCACCACCCUCGGGAUGGACGCUCUCGUCGGCCAGAACGUGUUCCCGCCGUCCGCCGGGGUGUUCCGCCCGGACAUCAUCGACGUCGCCGUGUGCCCGCUCCUCGCCUUCCUCGAGCGCACGGACUCGUACCUUUUCUUUGACGCGUACACCUACUUCACCUGGUCGGCGAAUCACACCGUCGUGCCGCUCACCUACGCGCUGCUCGAGCCGUCGCCGGCGCCGGGGUUCCGGUACCACGACCCCGGAACGGGGCUGUCGUACACCAACCUCCUCGACCACAUGCUCGACGCCGUGGUCGCCGCCAUGUGCCGCGCGGGCUACUGCGGCGUCAGGCUGGCGCUGGCCGAGACCGGCUGGCCCAACGCCGGCGACCUCAACGAGUUCGGCGCCAACGUGCGGAACGCGGCCACGUACAACCGCAACGUGGCGCGGCACCUGGCGUCCGGCGCCGGCACGCCGCGGCGGCCGGGGAUGCGCAUGCCGGCGCUCGUGUUCGCGCUCUUCAACGAGAACGUCAAGGGCGGCCCCGGCACAGAGCGGCACUGGGGCCUCUUCUACCCCAACGGCAGUGCGGUGUACGAGGUCGACCUGACGGGGCGCCAGCCGGUGGCGCCGUACCCUCCGCUGCCGCCGGCCACGAACGACCUGCCGUACCCUGGGAAGCUGUGGUGCGUGGCGAGGACUGACCGCCACGGGGCAUUGGCCAACGAGACGGCGGUGAGGGAGCAGGUGGCGACGGCGUGCGCGGACGAGGCCGGGCUGUGCGACCCCGUGCGGCCCGGCGGCGGGUGCCACCUCCCGGACACGGUGGCCGCGCACGCGAGCUACGUGUUCAGCGCGCACUGGAACAGGUUCAGCAAGCAGUACGGCGGGUGGUGCUACUUCGCUGGCCUCGCCGUGGAGACGACCGUCGAUCCCAGUCAUGGAUCGUGUAAAUUUCCCAGCGUUACACCAGGCUGA
rnacentral:rRNA from 1 species